GUUUUGUCUUGCAUUUUAUAUAUAAUUCAUUGUGUAAUUAUUAUUCAUUUGUAUAAACCAACAGGAACUACAUGAGGCUGGAUGCACCUGGAUUAGUUUCCCAAAUAGAAGUGAGGAGAUUCCAGAUUGGUUUGAGCACCGAAGCAUGGGAAAUGCAAUUUCUUUUUGGUUUAGUAAAGAGAUCCCUACUAUAACAUGUAUUUUUCUUCUCCCGCGAUCAGCAUUGUUUCCAAAAUUCAAUUUGUUUCUCAAUGACAAAGAAAUUGAUAUUCUUGAGUGUUCAUUUUUGUGUGAUGAUGAUUAUGAUUAUGAUGACCUUGUUGUAUAUUUGGGAUUAUUUCAAAAGUUAUUAUUAUUAUAUUCAAUAUUAUUAUGAUUAGCUAUCAAAGAAAAAUAAAAUGUGGUUUUAGUGUGAAUUUUUAUUCCUACUUUAUCUCAAGGCAUAGUUACACUUUGACUACCAAUUUUUCAAAUUUAAAAUAAAUUUGUUUAACAGUCAAAAUUAUUUGUUACCUAUUUACUUGCAGUUGAGAUAUUACUAAGAGUAUUGCCACUUUUUUAGCAACUAUUCUUGGUCAAUCUCCACUUUCCUAAUUAAUAGCACUGCUUUUGAGUGGAACAAAAACGUGGUUAAAGUUUUUUCUCAGAUAGUAGCUUUAUAAAUGAAUCAAAAUUUUAGUACGUGAUAUACAAAGUUACAAAACCAUUCUUCUGACUAUUGUUUUUCAACUUCUUUCAGUUUCAUAAAAUUAAGUGUCUGAGUCAUCUGAGUUUUGAUUACUCGUGUCUUGAUAGCCUCGGUACGCUUACCGCCGAGAAGACCUGUUGUAUUCUGGGGGAGUUGCGCAAUUCUGCGGAUAAUUCCUUAGUCCAGUGACUUAGUCACGCCUCAGGGUUUUACCUUUUUAGUUUAUUGUUUUGCAGGUUGUGAUACUUCAGUCAUCCGCAUUCAACAAUCUAAGGAAUUAUGGCUGGAGAAAAUUCUGACAAUGACAAAAACAAGAAUGUUACAGACUCUACUUUUUCUGUUGCUACCAAUCCGCCAGCAGUUGUCACCUAUGCAAAACAGUUCCCAGACGUUUCCAGAAUUGAAGUGUUUAAAGGACAGAAUUUCCGUCGUUGGAAUGAACGUGUCUUCACUCUGUUAGAUGUCCACGGUGUUGCUUCCGUUCUUACUGAUGUCAAACCAGAUGAAGCCAAAUCAGAUGCCAAACAAAUUGAAAAAUGGAACAAUGCUAACAAGGUUUGUCGCCAUACAAUUCUUUCUACAAUAUCUGAUGCACUUUUCGAUGUUUAUUGUUCCUACAAGGUUGCCAAAGACAUUUGGGACAACAUGAAUGUCAAGUACACUGCUGAGGAGGCUACCAAACAGAAGUUCGUGGUCGGAAACUACCUGUGAUGGCAAAUGAAAGAGGACAAGGAAAUAAAAGUGCAGAUCAACGAGUAUCACCAACUCAUUGAAGAAUUGAAGGCGGAGAACAUCAUACUUCCAGAUGUGUUUGUCGCUGCUGCCCUGGUUGAAAAGUUGCCUAGUUCAUGGGACGAUUACAAGCAACAGCUGAAACAUAAACACAAGCAGAUGUCUCUUAAUGAUCUCAUCAGGCACAUAAUCAUUGAAGACACCAGCAGGAAGGAAUGCGGAGCUGCACGUGCCAAAGCUUUGGAAUCGAGAGCAAAUCUGAUCCAAAACAAUGCGCGUAAACAACAGAGGUAUGAGAACAAAUCUGAUCAUGCUCUCAAAGUAACUAACCCUAAUUUCAAAGCAAACCUAGGUGAGUGCUAUGUGUGUGGAAAGAAAGGACAUAAAGCAUAUCACUGCAGAUAUCGGAAAGUGAAUGGCCAGCCUCCUAAGCCAAAAGCAAAUUUGACUCAAGGAGAUGAUAAGAAAUAUGACGAUGAUGAUGUUAUUGCUGCCGUCAUAUCUAAAGUACAUCUUGUCAAUGAUGUCCAAAAAUGGGUGGUAGACUCGGGGGCUACGAGACACAUCUGUGCAAAGAGAGAGGCCUUUACCUCCUACAUUUCUGUGGGGGAUGAUGAAGAUCAAGUCUAUCUUGGUGAUUCAAGAACCACUGCGGUGAAUGGCAAAGGCAAAGUAAUUCUGAAGCUCACUUCCGGAAAAACCUUGGCUUUGAGUGAUGUGCUAAAUGUGCCUACCAUUAGGACCAAUUUGAUUUCUGUAGCACUAUUAAACAAAGUAGGUGUUAAAGUGUCGUUUGAGUCCGAUAAGAUGGUCAUGUCAAAGAACAAUGUAUUUGUUGGGAACGGGUACUGUGAUCAGGGGCUUUUUGUUCUUAGUGUUUCUGAUUAGGUUUGCAUCCCCUAAGACUAUUUAACUAUCAGUUUUUUCUUUCUUUUCAGUUUUAAUAAAUCUGUUCCCUUUGAAUUUUAUAUAUGCGUUUCUAAAUUCUCUAUUUUUACAUCUCAGUAUACUUAUGUUUAAUUAGUAGUUAAAGUGAUCAAAAUGUUAAAGUUCUUUAUAUGCAUAUGUAAGCAGGAUAUAAUAUUCUCUUGUUAGUUAGAUAUAAAUAAUUCUUCACUGAGACAAUCUUUGCAAACUCUGUUAUAAAGUGUGAACUGAUUGAUUAAAGUUACUUAAUUGUUAUAUUGUAUGAGCACUUACUAAGUUCUUUAUUACAUGAAUGCAAUGAAUUUAGUUAAGUAUAUAAAUUUGAGUCAUGCCAUCUAAUGUUAAAAAUUUAUAGUAUGCUGAUACGCUGAACUGCAAGUAUGAAACAUUAGUAUGCUUCUGACUUUUAAUUUGAUGUUACAUGUUUACAUACAUGUUCUUGACUGAAACUAAUCUUAAUAUGUAUCAUCAUAUUUGUAUUAUUGGAAAUUAAGAUGACAUUGUUUAAUAUGGAAGAACCACUGUAUUAUAAUAAAACAAUGAUGAUAAGUGAAUAUGAACCAAUAAAAUAAAGUGAUUUAUUUUAUUGAUGAAUAUGUCUUGUUUAGUUUAACUAAGCAAACUUGUGUGCAAACCAAGUCUAUGAUAUAGACUUGACGAAGUAUUAGAUUAAUUGAUUAAGAGACGUCUUAAUCAAUAUUUGUGAAUUUAACGAAUUCGUUGACAAAAACCUUGAGAAGAAAAAGUAGGAAAUGAGACUAUGCCACACGAAAACGACAAGUGAUGGAAACCCAACCUUUAUGAAUGGAGAUCCCAUGAAAAAGGUUUAAUGGAAAAAACAAGUCAUUUGUUAGUUAUGUUAGCACUAAAUUGUUUUGUCCUUUUCCUAUAGAGUUAUGACAUUGAAAUGAGAAGUGCUAAUUAAAUUAAAAUUUGAGGGUUGGGCUCAUAAUGUCUUUAAUGAUUUCCAUAAGCCUUUAGGGUGGUGUGUGGUUGUAGCAGGCACUAGAUGGAAUCACCUAUAUAAGUGUCAAGUGGGGCCGCUUGCAUGAGACCGUGGCGGGUCUCUAGAGCACUCAUGAAAAUCAGACACGCGCACGGCCUAAAUGCGCAACACAGCGAUUACACGAGAAUUGUGGGGGUAAUGCGAUUGUGAGACCUCUAGCAUACAUCAAGUGUAUUGGGUUCCAUAGCUUGCUAAACCAAUUCACUGUGUGUUAAGCCUCAUUAGUCUAGGACGGGUUCCAUAGCUUGCUACACCGUUCCGAUGCAUUACACUCAAAGAUGACUCAGGCUAUAUAUUUUUGUUUAAAACUUUUGAAAAUUGUGGGGGAUUGUUGUAUAUUUGGGAUUAUUUCAAAAGUUAUUAUUAUUAUAUUCAAUAUUAUUAUGAUUAGCUAUCAAAGAAAAUUAAAACGUGGUUUUAGUGUGAAUUUUUAUUCCUACUUUAUCUCAAGGCAUAGUUACACUUUGACUACCAAUUUUUCAAAUUUAAAAUAAAUUUGUUUAACAGUCAAAAUUAUAUGUUACCUAUUUACUUGCAGUUGAGAUAUUACUAAGAGUAUUGCCACUUUUUUAGCAACUAUUCUUGGUCAAUCUCCACUUUCCUAAUUAAUAGCAUUGCUUUUGAGUGGAACAAAAACGUGGUGAAAGUUUUUUCUCAGAUAGUAGCUUUAUAAAUGAAUCAAAAUUUUAGUACGUGAUAUACAAAGUUACAAAACCAUUCUUCUGACUAUUGUUUUUCAACUUCUUUCAGUUUCAUAAAAUUAAGUGUCUGAGUCACCUGAGUUUUGAUUACUCGUGUCUUGAUAGCCUCGGUACGCUUACCGCCGAGAAGACUGUUGUAUUCUGGGGGAGUUGCGCAAUUCUGCGGAUAAUUCCUUAGUCCAGUGACUUAGUCACGCCUCAGGGUUUUACCUUUUUAGUUUACUGUUUUGCAGGUUGUGAUACUUCAGUCAUCCGCAUUCAACAGACCUUCGGGCAUCGGAACAUGCAUUUUUGUUUGAUCUGGAAUUGGAUCAUCAUAUUAUAACGAGAGUUUUGCAAAUGAGCCUGAUGAACUGUAUGAAGCAUUUAAAAAUAAUGAAUGGAACCAUGUGGAGCUUAAGUGGGAGAAAAAGAGGAAAAUAUUUAGCAGUGAUGCACAAAUGGGAAUCCAGGUGUCAUGGCAUGGGUACGAUUGUGACCGGGAGAAAAGCAACAAGCAGGGGGAAGUGAGAUUCACUAAUCCUUAUAGCAAGAGAAAGUUAGAUGAAUAUCUUCUCAAUGAUAGCAAUACUUCGUUAUCACAGUUUGAACCUCCUCUAAAAAAAGCAAGGAUUGGUGGAAGUGGGAGUUUCCGAGACAGAGGAGGAGGAUGAUUGUAGUGCACAAUUUCUAAUCGGAAUCCACCAGGAGAAAAGUAACACGGAGGAGGAUGUGAUAUUGAUGCUUCAUUCAGGUGAAAGAAAGACAAAAUCAGAUGAAGAUAUCAAGCUUCGUUGCAACAAAAGGAAUUGAUAAAAGUGGAAGAAAGAAAGACAUGGGGUACAUUCCUUUGUCUAGGUGCAUUAUGAGGUUAGCCAUCUUGUUGUUAUUCUCUCAAUCUCAACAUUGAAGGUUUGUGCUUUGCUGUUUACACUUUACUUCAUCAUCAUAAUUAUAAACGUUGAUUAAUUUCUGUAUAUAUUCAAUUACAAAUUUGUUGUUUCUAGUUGGACAAGUUUUUUAAAUGAUGAGAUAUUCAUGUAACAUUCUGUGGAGGAUGAUUUCUAGCAAAAUCAUUUGUGAUCAAAGACUGCCUUAAAUUUAAUGUAUCUCAUGAAUUAAUAUACAUCGGAUUUGGGAAUCCAUUAUGUUUUGGAAUUAAUAUACAUCGGAUUAAUGUUUAAUGUAUCUCAUGAAUUAAUGUAUC
rnacentral:lncRNA from 1 species